rnacentral:rRNA from 1 species
ACGGGUGAGUAACGCGUGAGUAACCUGCCUUACACAAGGGGAUAGCCGUUGGAAACGACGAAUAAUACCCUAUGACAUAAACUCUUCGCAUGAGGAGCUUAUCAAAGAUUUAUCGGUGUAAGAUGGACUCGCGUCUGAUUAGCUAGUUGGUGAGGUGACGGCCCACCAAGGCGACGAUCAGUAGCCGGCUUGAGAGAGUGAACGGCCACAUUGGAACUGAGAAACGGUCCAAACUCCUACGGGAGGCAGCAGGG